rnacentral:rRNA from 1 species
UACAGAGGUCUCAAGCGUUGUUCGGAUUCAUUGGGCGUAAAGGGUGCGUAGGCGGCGCGGUAAGUCGGGUGUGAAAUCUCGGAGCUUAACUCCGAAACUGCAUUCGAUACUGCCGUGCUCGAGGACUGGAGAGGAGACUGGAAUUUACGGUGUAGCGGUGAAAUGCGCAGAUAUCAGGAGGAACACCGGUGGCGAAGGCGGAUCUCUGGGCCGUAACUGACGCUGAGGAGCGAAAGCAUGGGGAGCGAACAGG